UGUAACGGUGGGUAACACCAUCGGUAUUACGAACGGGGUGCAGCAAGGGAAGGAAGCCGCGACGGCGGCUGCCCCCGCCGUUCCCACCCUGGGGGGCUCGGGGGGCUCGUACCGCUCCGGGGACCCCCCCCCCCCGGCCCACCCGUCCUGCUGCCAGCCCCUUGGGGAGCUUCUGGAACCCCUGCCCCGGCGGUUCCCCUGGGUUUGAGUGAGAAAGCAGGAAGAACCGCCAGAUGUUUCGAGGACGCACCGUUUUACGGAUACAACGUGCACCUGUACGUGGAGCCACAGGAGGAAGAACCAGAGAUGCUUAUUUCAGAAUUCAAUUGUUCCAGAAAGAUGACCUGCUGCAGGAUAGGAGGCAAACCACCAAAAGGAGAUAAAUCCAUCUGCUGCAGUUGGAUGGCUUGUGUCCUCUCAAGCCGGUCAAGGUGAUCCAAGGGGCUCAGCUGGACAUGAAAACACGAAAAGGUGCCGUUAUGAACUUCCUCAUGGCAUGGACAGUAAUGAACUGCAGUUCUGAGUAGGAAAAUGGUGAAAAGCACAGUCAAGCCAGGGUCAGAUGAGCCACAGCACUCCAUGGAGCAGGGAGCUCACACAGGGAGGUGGGACAGUUUGGCUGGGGCGCCUUGUCCAGGAUCACUUGAUGUCAUAUCUACAACCAGCGCUUCUUUAGUCAACAAAGGCAAAUAGCCUUGCUGUGAAGAAGAGACCCAACUACUGGCAAUGUGCUUCAUUUUAAAGUGGCUGGCCAUGCCAUGCUGGAAAAAUAAAUAGAGAAAGAGUGGUAAUAGUUUAGCAGAGAGAACAACAGGUUUUCCACCUCUUAUCUAGAGAUAACGGUGGGGCAUCAAAGGGGUUUUUUUUCACCCUCUUCCCAGCACCUGUCCUUAUUUGUUGAACAAUUUAUGGCUCCAUCUGAAGUAUUAUCCUGCUAAGGGCAGGAGGUAUUUGCAGUGCAGCCCAACAUAAUCCUCCCCUCAGAGAUUAAGGCUAUUACCUCAUUGAUGCUCCUGGUCUCUGCCAGCCUUGGCAUAGCCCUGCACGGCAUCACUGCAGGGCUGCGGCACAAUGGCUCACUAUGCUGCCAUCUAAGCCAUGGAAUGCUUCUCCUGUCAUUCCUUUUAUUCCUGGAAUGACAUGACAGUAAUCAUGGAUAAUGAAUUCUGUUAAUGAGAUGACUUAUUUCAAAAGUAAAUAAAGCUCAGGUGUCACGUGAAUGAAAAAAAAGAAAUGUGAAAUAUCCGCAAAGGUGAUUUUGUCAAAUGUGCCAGGGGAUGAAAAAAACCUCACACACGCGCUGUGUUGAGGGAGCUGUCACUGUGUGGGUAGGACUCCAGAAGCAAGAAAGGAGAACAGUAAAGCUUAACUUCAUCCCUGGUGUGAAUGAUGGAUUGCACAACCACUCAUGCUCCAGUAUAGAUGUAAGAAUUUUACCCCAAAUAACCAGAAAAUCUGAGCUAUCCUUCAGCUUUCAGCACUGCUCUUUUUUCACCCAAGGAGGGAAAGGUCCCAGGAAGAUAGCAAUGGGGAAUUAACCUCCUGGAGAGACUCUGUGGGCCCCCUAACCAGAAGGGCAUCCAGUGUGUGGUGAGACUACUCCAUCACAGCACAGCCUGUAGGUCAUCCUGCACCAGCCUUUCCAGAGAGCUCCGUGUGGAUUCAGGCUGCGGAGAAGCUGCCCUGCUGUUUGGUUGUUUAAGAUGCAGCUGCAGAAGAAAAGAAAAGCAAAACCAUGGCUUGAUUUAUAUCUCUUGGUUAUUUUAAAUCAUUCUCAAAAGAAACAAACAAACAACCCCAGACACUUUUAAACUGAACCAUUUUAAAAAUGGCAAAGUGCUUCUAUCAUUUUCAGUA